rnacentral:lncRNA from 1 species
CGACUGAGACACGCCCACUUAUUCUACCAAUUCAGCGCACUCCAUUUCCGCUCAGAAACCAAAACUUAGUGGAGAGCCCCAGCGGCCGUGGUUCGCAGAAGACUCUCCCAUAAGAUGCACCGCCAUCCGUGUAGCUUGGCCUAACAAUAUGCCUGUUUUUAGAUGAAAAACCUCCUCUGCCCAACACGACCCAUCCCUUAGAGUUCAAAACCAAACUCACCUGGACCAAACCUGAGGCCACGUUGAAACAAGGUGCAGUGAGCUUUGCGUAAGUGUGGACAGUUUUCCGAGUUGUGGCACAGGAUUCUGUCUUUGUCUUUACCUCAGCUGAAGUGGAAACUCAGUCCGUGGCCCCCGCAAAUGCAGAGGUGCUGGUGACGCAGGGAGCCCAUGGAGUACUUACCGGUUCCCUGAGCUUUUUCUUCAUGCAUGUUCUUCUGGCCCCUGAGCUGAGCUGUGAAGUGACUGACCCAGGACCCCAGCCAGGGCUGUUGGAACCCAGAGGCCUGAAUCCAAGGCUGUGCUUCUCCUCGAAGGUUUACAGUGACGGGUGCUGUGCUGGCUGGGGGAGCGGGGCUUCCUGCCCUGACCAGCUUCCAGCCUGCCAUGCACGCAGGGUCGGCGAAGGCCCAAGAGGGCUGCAUGGGCAGGAAAAGGAUCCUCUUCUCAUAGUUCACUAACUGCCAUCGUGGGGCUGGCGGAAAGGCUGCUCUCGCUCUCUCG